rnacentral:rRNA from 1 species
CCAGACUCCUACGGGAGGCAGCAGUGAGGAAUAUUGGUCAAUGGGCGAUAGCCUGAACCAGCCAAGUCGCGUGAGGGAAGACGGCCCUAUGGGUCGUAAACCUCUUUUGUCGGGGAGCAAGGUCGCUACGUGCAGCGAUUUGAGAGUACCCGAAGAAAAAGCAUCGGCUAACUCCGUGCCAGCAGCCGCGGUAAUACGGAGGAUGCGAGCGUUAUCCGGAUUUAUUGGGUUUAAAGGGUGCGUAGGCGGGCUUUUAAGUCAGCGGUAAAAAUUCGGGGCUCAACCCCGUCCGGCCGUUGAAACUGGGGGCCUUGAGUGGGCGAGAAGAAGGCGGAAUGCGUGGUGUAGCGGUGAAAUGCAUAGAUACCACGCAGAACCCCGAUUGCGAAGGCAGCCUUCCGGCGCCCUACUGACGCUGAGGCACGAAAGUGCGGGGAUCGAACAGGAUUAGAUACCCCCGUA